GACGAACCGUGCGAACGUUAUUCGGAAUCACUGGGCUUAAAGCGCGUGUAGGCGGGCCGCCGCGUCGGCUGCUGAAAUCCCCCGGCUCCAACCGGGGAACGGGCACCGAUACGGGCGGCCUCGAGGGGGGUAGGGGGGACUGGAACUUCCGGUGGAGCGGUGAAAUGCGUUGAGAUCGGAAGGAACGCCCGUGGCGAAAGCGAGUCCCUGGACCCUUUCUGACGCUGAGACGCGAAAGCCAGGGGAGCGAACGGG
rnacentral:rRNA from 1 species